CUCCUCAAAUUUCGCAUUUUCCCUUCUUCAGUGUGUCCUAUAAAACAGGGAAUCUGAAGACACAGCUACUUCAUGGUGGCCAAGAAUCAGAAUUAGAAUCUGCAAUAAAGAAUCGGAUCAUGAGGUUUCUCAAUAUUUCUGAAAAAGAUUAUUGUAUGGUUUUCACUGCAAAUAGAACAUCAGCUUUCAAACUAGUAGCAGAAUCUUACCCUUUCAGCUCAAGUCAAAAGCUCCUUACCGUUUAUGACUAUGAGAGUGAAGCAGUAGAAACCAUGAUUAAUUGUUCUGAGAAGAAAGGGGCCAAGAUAAUGUCAGCAGAGUUCUCAUGGCCUAGACUGAGGAUUCAUUCAGCAAAAUUGAGGAAAAUGAUUACGAGGAAAAGAAAAAAGAAGAAGAAGAGGGGGCUAUUUGUUUUCCCAC
rnacentral:lncRNA from 1 species